rnacentral:lncRNA from 1 species
GGUGAGUCCGGGAGCCUCCAGUAUGGUGCGAGGGACCAGAUCCUUCACCACAUUUCUCAGUUAGUCGAUUUUUGGAAUAUUGUGCAGAUUUAGCCUUAAAAUCCUCAGUAUCAUAGUGAGGCUUCCAGCUCUCCCAAAUAGAUUUUGGGAUAUUUUUUCGUUUCUCCUCAGAGGAUCUUGCUUCACAUAACAUACCCCUGUAUUGUAUUGAACAUUUUUUCAUAAAAUGAUCCUUUAUGGAACCUUCAGUUGUAAUAUUCCAAUGGAAUCGCUUAUGUUUAAGAAUAUAGAGAAAAAUAUCACAUAAAUUGAUAUAACAUAAAUUCUAAAUGAAUAUAAUACAUUAAUAAAAUGAUAGCAAAAUGGAAUUUAUGGGUAUAAUGAGUACAUGAAUAUUAUAUUAGAAGGAGACACAAUCAGGUAUCGAAAGGUGUACCAAAAAAAGUAUCAUAGGUGUUGAAAAAAGCUUGGAAAGGAGGGAAGUAUAUUGAAGAAGCUCGAAUGAACAUGGAUGAACUAGGAAAGGAUGGAUGCAUCUUAUCAAAAUGCUUCCAUGCAGGUGCUUCUGAACAGUGACGCAUCACACCUUCCUCAACUUCAUGUUCAGCGUGCCAUCGCAUGUGUGAAGCAGUUGCUGUGGAAGCAUACAUUCGUUGCAGUCGUGGAGUAAGAGGAAAGUAAUACAUCUGUUUGAAUGGUACAAGAUUUUUCUUCUGAAUAGAUCUUUGACUUGUAAGCUUAUACCUGGGAUGACUACAAAACUUGCAAUUUACAAGUUCACUAUCCUCUCCCCAGUAAAUCAUGCAGGCAUUGACACAAGUAUGAAUUUUUUCAACUGGCAUGUUCAUUCCCCUCAUUAACUUUUUAGUUUCAUAGAAAUUUUUUGGCAUCACAUUAUCAGGCGGAAUCAUCUCAUUCACAUAUUGACAAAUAUCAUCAAAACAUCUUUCAGAGAGGUGAUGUUCAGCCUUGAUAUGCAACAAACAAGCAACAACUGAUAAUUGAGAUGUACGGUUUUACUUUCGUAACAAAAUCAAUAGUUACAAAAAAAACCCAGGUAGUAUGGUUUACCUUAAACUCCUCCCAGUAGAAGUCCUUAAUCUCUGGUGUAACUGACUUCCNNNNNNNNNNNNNNNNNNNNNNNNNNNNNNNNNNNNNNNNNNCAUGAUCGCCCGAGAUACAUUGUUACUUGGCUCCAAACUUGUAUAUAUAUAUAACAAGUAAUUAUUUCAAUACUCAAUUUUAUUUAUAAACAUCAAGCAGUGUCUAGAGUGUAUUAUCAGUUUCUUUAGCGACAAUAUAAGAUCUUAAAGAGGUCGAGGCAGUAAGGAAGAAACAUAUGACACAUAUGAAAGUGUUAUCAAAGAGACAAGGAUUAGAUAUAAAUUAUAAAAUCCUGUCAUUAUCAUAUCUUGAAAUGACUAGCUGGGAGGAGCCGAUACUGAGCUCGGAUUCAAUACAUGAUUCAGAUCUAAGCUUAAUCUAGAACAAGUAAAAAAAAGUUCUAGUAUGAAAUCUAAUGAUAUACUGUAAAGAUAAGAAAAACUUCAGGGAAUGAGGACGGUUGAUAUCAAAGAAAUGUCACACCAUACACACCAAUAAAAGCAAAGUAAACAAUAAAUUUUCCACACAAUCUGAACAUGUAGGUCAAGAGAAAAAGUUCUGGGGAACUGCACAUGGGGAAUUCUGUUGCCCCAUUCUAUAAAUUCCUUACCAUAUGAUGUUGCCACAUUCAACUAUUGCUUCUUAUAUAAGAGAAGUGUAGACAUUAGUGAACAAGCUACUUUCUUCAAGAAUGAUUUUUUUGUAUUGAUUUAAAAAUACCUCAAUUUUUAAUUCAUUCCCCACUAAUACAAUUUAAGAAAAUCAACAAAACUUGUAAACAUUUAUAAAAAAAAGUAUGGAAGAAAUUCAACAAAUCUUAUUUUCUUGCAUGUAGAAAAACAAUGUAAACGAAACAAUAUUGUACACUUACCGUCCCAUGACGAUUUCAAUUGGGAUGCGGGUACCAUCAGUUGUAUUUGACGAAGUUGUAGAUACAAUGUCAUUCCUUGGUAUUUCGAUCCCCACAGAUGAAGAUGGUCCCGAUAUGUUGACUGCAACUGAAUCUGGCGUAACUGGUGUUGGCAGUUCAGGCAAUGAUGGUGCUUGAUCACGUGCGAAACUCGACAUUAGAGGAGAUGCCACUGGAUCUGCUGUCCUUUUUCCAGAAUAUCUACAACGUCCACCCCCCCGAGGUGCCAUAACCGCAAUUUCAAAGUUAAAUGUGGAUGAAGUAAUAUCAUAAUGAUUGAAUCAUGAUUGAUCAAAUUAUAACAAGAAUAGAUAGUUAGUUGAUAUAUCACUUCAAGAACAAGAUCCCUCUGAAAUUUAAGAAAAAACGUAGUUAAUCUAGUUAGCAGAUAAAUAUAUAAACACUUCUAUAAAUAAAAUAAUCUCAUCACUAUUCCAAACAUAGAUCUCGAAUCAUACUGGGAAUAGUUGUUCAAACAAAACAACCAGGAGAAUUAUUAAAACAAAAUAAGUAUACUGGUAAAAGAGACGAAAUAUAAAAUCAACUUAUAUACUACAUUUUAGUAACUCUAACUCCUAUAUUUGAAGAGAUUGGAGCACUUUGACUCUAUUCACUGCCACUUUCAUAGUACGCCUCUUCAUUCUCAUUUUCAUCAUCUGAUUCUGAUUCUAAUUCAUCAUGAAACUCUGUCUCAUCAUCUAAAUUAUCAUCCUCAUCUCUCAAGUUUAUGAAUUCGCCAUUUGGAUCAUUCCGGACAAUAGUUUCACUAUCGGACACUACAUCAAAUCUUAAACCAUCUUCAUCACAUUGGAAAGGCUCAACAACAUCUACUAGAGGGGACACUAAAGAUGAUGGAGACAUAUCCACAAUACCCCGAGCUUUUGUUUUGCACACAACCCACCAAUCACUCUUAUCACAUCAUAAGCUAGGAUAAGUAGCAUAAUACAUUUGAGCCGCUUGCAUUGCCAAAACAAAUGGUUCGUACUUCCUCAAUUUUCUUCUAUGAUUGAUAUCCACAAGUUUAUAUUGUGGGUGAAUCUUCAUUCCUACGUUUGGUGUGGGGUCAAACCAUUCACAUUUAAAUAAAACAGUUCUUUUGAUUGGUGUACUGCCCUUGUACUCCAAUUCAAGAAUUUCAGUAAGCACACCAUAGUAGUCAUUCUCAUCUGCACUAUAAUUUGUUCCUUUUAUGCAAACUCCACUGUUAUUAGAUGCUCUAGACAAACUGCGUCCUUUAGUGUGAAAUUUAAAGCCGUUGACAUUAUAACCAGUGUAUGGCUUCGCUGUCGACAUGGACCUUCUGCAAGCGCCUUGAUGAACUGAUUAUCUAUGUGGACUCGGGCCUAUCAAAUUAAAAAAUAUUAGAGUUUCUUAUAAGUAAAGUAAGUACAGAUGAAAAGAUAUUGUACAACUGCUCACAUAUCUUGUGAACCAUGAUGCAAAUUCUUCAUCAAGUUUUCUGUCCACUUCCUGCUCCGUAAUUUGUGGAAACAUUUGAUGAAGAGAGUCAAUAAAAUUCCUUUGGAUCACAUAAAAGAAAAAACUAUGUAAGAUUUUUUCUGAUAAUUUUAGUGUAUAAAUGAAAGCAAAAGUUUGAAAUCUUACUCCACAUAUGGCUGCACUUCUCUACAAUUUAGUAAAAUAUAAAUAUGAGCUGCUUUAAGUUCUUCUUCAGUAAGAUAUCUACGAUUUAGUUCCCCAAAUCCCCGACCUGGAUAGGUGAAUAUAGAAAGAUUAUCAUCGUAUCCAUCUUGUUCAUCCAUACCACCAUCGUCAUUCUGUGGCACUUUUCUAUGCCUUGUGUAAACAUGAGGCUCGAAGUAGUGUGAACAAAAUGAUGAAGCUUCCUCAACUAUAUGUGCGUUGCAUAUGCAUCCUUCGACAUGUGCCUUAUUUCGAACAUUAUAUUUAUAUUUUCGGAGAUUUCUGAAAAUAGCACAAAAGCUCAAGGCAUUAGUCACUCAUAAUGAUGAAAACAAAGUACUUAAAUAGUCAAGUCUAUUUUGGUGGUUAGGGACAGAUGAAAGAAAUUGUAUAUUAAGGGUUUUGCAUCCAAGCAUACAUGUUACAUCUGUUUUUGCAACCACAAAAGGUUAUUAAACUCAUCAAAACUGCGUGUAGGAAAUAUUUAUGAACAGGGGAAACCAAUAUUACUAAAAGGAAACUUGUAGUCUGGGACAAGGUGACUCUUCCUAAAGGUUCAAGAGGCUUGAAUAAUUAUUUAAAGACCUGGAAUCAAGCUGCAACAUGCAAACUGUUGUUGUUGUUGAGUCAGAACAAGGAAAAACUAUGGAUUAAUUGGGUCCAUAGACACUAUAUAAAUGACAGGAGACUACCAGAUCACAUAGAGUUUCCCGAUAUGCUUCUUGGAUGAUAAGAAAGAUGUUUCAUAUGUGAAAAUUCUGGCAGAUUAUCAAUUUAUAUAAACAAACAGAUCAUAAGGGGGGAGUAUAAAAUAUCAUAUACUUUAAACUUUAAGAGGUUUUUUGCAAAAGAAGUUCCUUAUAAAAAUCUUGUAUGUCAUAAUAUUUCAUGUUGUCAAGACUGACCUAUGCAACUAGUUAAGAAGAAGAAAAAGGUUAUUUGAGCUUUCAAGUUCUCUUUAAUUAGAUUAUAACUUUAUAUUAGAGAUAGUGAUUAGGAUUGGAAGGUUAUUUAGGCGUUGUCUGAGAAGGGAAGGUUGUUGGUUGGCUCCUCCCUAAGCUUUUUAUUGUCGCCUGGUGAUUAAUAAAAUAAGUUUAAUUGCAAAAGAAAUAAAGUACUUGAAUAUAUAAAUGAAGUCUUACCUCUCAAAUGGAUACAUCCAUCGAUAUUGUACCGGACCAGCUAUCAUUGCUUCGUAAGCGAGAUGCACAGGGAGAUGCUCCAUUGAGUCAAAGAAGCUAGGAGGGAAUACACGCUCUAAUUUACAAAGUAUUUCAGGUAUUUUUUGUUGUAGUCUUACCAUAUCCUCUUCACGAAUUACUGUAGAAGUGAUAUCCCUAAAGAAAAGGCUCAUCUCAGUAAGUGCUUCCCACACUUUUUUGGGUAAUAGCUCACGGAAUGCAACAGGUACCAAUCUUUGCAUAAAUACAUGACAAUCGUGACUUUUCAUACCGAAUAACUUGUGUUUUUUCAUUUCCACACACCUUCCCAUAUUCGAGACAUAUCCAUCAGGAAAUUUUAGAUUUUUCACCCAUUCACACAACAAUUUUUUUUACUCUUCUUUCAGUGUGUAAAUAGCUUUCGGAUACUUCCCAUCAACAGCAUGUAAUUCAGGGCGUCGACAGUAUUCACACAACAAUUUUUUUGACUCUUCUUUCAGUGUGUAAAUAGCUUUCGAAUACUUCCCAUCAACAGCAUGUAAUUCAGGGCGUCGACAGAACUCUUUCAAGUCUUCUCUUGAUUUGGGAUUAUCUUUUGUUUUACCAUUUACCUCCAGCACUGUGUUGAACACAUUCUCAAAGAAGUUCUUCUCAAUGUGCAUUACAUCUAGAUUAUGCCGAAUGAGAUUAGUACUCCAAUAUGGCAAAUCCUAGAAUAUGCUUCUCUUCUUCCAACCAGAAAACUUACUAAUCUGACGAUUAAUAAUAUCAGCCCCAAGUUCUGUUACCUUUUCAAGUCCUAGUUCUUCUAUCUCUUUUAAGACACCUUCUCCUGAUCGUAAUGGGGUAGGCGGCAUGGUUACUACCCUGUUCUUUCUAAAUGAGUUCUUAUCCUUUUUGUAUGGAUGAUUAAGUAGCAGAAACUUACGGUGGUUGUCAAACCAGGACUGCUUACCACCUUUUGUCAAAAUAAAAACAUCAGAAUUCUCCAUACAAUAUGGACAUGCUAGCCUGCCUGCAGUACUCCAUCCAGACAACAUCGAAUAUGCAGGAAAGUCACUUAUUGUCCACAUCAAAGCAGCUCGCAUUUGAAAAUUUUGAUUCUUAGAGAUAUCAUAUGUGUUGACACCUACAUUCCAUAGGUUCUUCAACUCAGCAAUCAAAGGCUGCAAGAAGACAUCUAGUUGCUGCUUAGGAUUCUUUGGUCCAGGAACUAUAACAAAUAAAAAUAAAUAUGGAUCUUUCAUACACUUCCAAGGAGGUAAGUUGUAUGGUGUCACAAUUAUUGGCCAAGAUGAAUAUUGCUUUCCUGUUUGACCAAAUGGCUGAAACCCAUUAGUGGACAGUCCCAAUCUAACAUUACGACUUUCCUCUGAAAAAGAUGGAUGCAUCUUAUCAAAAUGCUUCCAUGCAGGUGCAUCUGAACAGUGACGCAUCACACCUUCCUCAACUUCAUGUUCAGCGUGCCAUCGCAUGUGUGAAACAGUUGCUGUGGAAGCAUACAUUCGUUGCAGUCGUGGAGUAAGAGGAAAGUAAUACAUCUGUUUGAAUGGUACAAGAUUUUUCUUCUGAAUAGAUCUUUGACUUGUAAGCUUAUACCUGGGAUGACUACAAAACUUGCAAUUUACAAGUUCACUAUCCUCUCCCCAGUAAAUCAUGCAGGCAUUGACACAAGUAUGAAUUUUUUCAACUGGCAUGUUCAUUCCCCUCAUUAACUUUUUAGUUUCAUAGAAAUUUUUUGGCAUCACAGUAUCGGGCGGAAUCAUCUCAUUCACAUAUUGACAAAUAUCAUCAAAACAUCUUUCAGAGAG